rnacentral:rRNA from 1 species
CUCNNGAAGAGUCUUGUAUUGUUAUUUUUCGUCACUACCUCGAACUUCGUUCAUUGGGUAAUUUGCGUGCCUGCUGCCUUCCUUGGAUGUGGUAGCCGUUUUUAAGGCUCCCUCUCCGGAAUCGAACCCUGAUUCCCCGUUACCCGUCAAAACCACUGUGAGCGUCUAUAUCACAGUCGACAGUUGAUAGGGCACACCUUCGAAGGAAACGUCGCCUGCACAAGGCAAUGCGAUCAGCCCAAAGUUAUUCCGAGUCACCAAAUAUACAGACGAAUCUGUUUGGUUUUGAUCUAAUAAAAGCAUCUCUCCGUGAGUCGAGAUUUUUCGCAUGUAUUAGCUCAAGAAUUACCUCAGUUAUCCAAGUAACUGCUAACAUUCCAGUAGAUUAGGUGUGAUUUAAUGAGCCAUUCGCGGUUUCACCUUAGUUAGGCUUGUACUUAGACAUGCAUGGCUUAAUCUUUGAGACAAGCAUAUGCUACUGGCAGGAUCAACCA